CCGGGUUUUUACAACCGCACUGAUCAGCCGGGACUCAGAUUCUCCCCAGAUGGCGAGGAUCCCUGUUAUGGCGCCUCGAACCCUCCUCCUGCUGCUCUCGGGGGCCCUGACCCUGACCGAGACCUGGGCGGGCUCCCACUCCCUGAGGUAUUUCCUCACCGGCGUGUCCCGGCCCGGCCGCGGGGAGCCCCGCUUCAUCGCCGUCGGCUACGUGGACGACACGCAGUUCGAGCGGUUCGACAGCGACGCCGCGAGUCCGAGGGUGGAGCCGCGGGCGCCUUGGAUGGAGCAGGUGGGGCCGGAGUAUUGGGAAGAGCAGACGCUGCUCGCCAAGGACGUAGCACAGACUUUCCGAGUGGACCUGAACAUCCUGCGCGGCUUAUACAACCAGAGCGAGGCUGGGUCUCACACUCUCCAGGUGUUGUAUGGCUGCGACGCGGGGCCGGAGGGGCGCCUACUCCGCGGGUACAGACAGUCCGCCUACGACGGCGCCGAUUACAUCGCCCUGAACGAGGACCUGCGCUCCUGGACCGCGGCGGACGCAGUGGCUCAGAUCACCAAGCGCAAGUGGGAGGUGGAAGGUGAGGCGGAGCAAGAAAGGAACUACCUGGAAGGCAGGUGCGUGAAGUGGCUCCUGAGACACCUGGAGAACGGGAAGGAGACGCUGCAGCGCGCGGGCGCCCCGAAGACACAUGUGACCCACCACCCCAUCUCUGACCAUGAGGUCACCCUGAGAUGCUGGGCCCUGGACUUCUACCCUGCGGAGAUCACCCUGACCUGGCAGCGUGACGGGGAGGACCUGACACAGGACAUGGAGCUUGUGGAGACCAGGCCUGCAGGGGAUGGGACCUUCCAGAAGUGGGCGGCUGUGGUGGUACCUUCUGGGGAGGAGCAGAGCUACAUGUGCCUUGUGCAGCACAAGGGGCUGCCUGAGCCCCUCACCCUGAGAUGGGAGCCGCCUCCUGAGGCCACCAUCAUCGUGGGCGUCAUUGCUGGCCUGGGUCUCUUUGUGGUCACUGGCGCUGCAGUAGCUGGAGCUGUGAUCUGGAGGAAGAAGCGUUCUGGUAGGGAAGGGGAUGGAGAAUCUGAAUUUUCUUCUCCCACUGACGGAUUUCAAGCCCCAGGUAGAGGUUGCCCUGCCUUGUUAAUGGGAAGUACCAUCCACACACAUGUAUUUGCCACUCUGGAGCUGAUUGGUAACACUCUUAUUAAAGCACUGGUGAAAAUGACAGAAAGAUUUUUUCACCUGGAUAAUUCUGGGCUGGGGACCUGAUUCCCAGCAGUCGAAGGUCAGAGGGGAGGGUCCCUGCUGAGGACAGACCUCCAGGAGGGCAUUUGAUCCAGUCUUCACACAUCUCCUUUCUUCGUGUUUCCCCUUCCUGCCGUGGGUCUUCAGUCAUGGUUCUGGAAACUUCCCUGUGGUCCAGGUCUUGGGGGUUGCUCUAGGAUCUCAUGGCUCAGCCUUCUCCCUGUUUUCUUCCCAUGGGUGAAAAAAGAGGGGGCUGUGCUCAGGCUGCAAGUAAGUUUCUGUAGGGAAUUGAUCCCUGAGACCCUUCAGAUGUGUAGACGGAGCCCAUGGGGGGAGCUCACCCAGCCCAUUGUUCCUCCUUUAGUCUCAUCUCCUGUGGGCUCUGACCCCAUCCUAUUUUGUCCUACCCAGGCAGUGACAGUGCCCAGGGCUCUGAUGUGUCUCUCAUGGAUCCUAAAGUGUGAGACAGCUUCCUUGUGGGGGACUGAGUGAUGCAAGAUUUGUUCACACUUCCUCUUUGUGACUUCAAGAACCCUGACUUCUCUUUCUGCACUGGACCUGUGAUCACAGGGAUGAGGACAUCACCUGGACCUUGUCCUGUCUCCAGGACCAUUGGCAGUGAGGGCUUCAUGUGGCCAGGUCAGUCUAGACACAGGCCAGGGCCCAGCCCUCAGGCCUUGCAUUUUGUUUGUUUAUAUUUGGGUUUUGGAGGGUUUUUUUUAUUGUUAACUCCCUUUUCACGUUUCAAGUUCUGGUCUCAUUCUCCUCUGGGUGUCCCCCAUAUCUGACAGCAGCAGGAGUCGUUUGGCCUGUCAUUGUCCCCACGAGGUCCAGGGUGGCCGCUGCACACAGGAGAUUCUUUGGUAUCGAGAGAGAAAUUUUCAGACUCAUCCAACUCUUACCCUCUUUCUAAGGUUGUUUCCUGGAUUUUUCUUUCUACCUUUUCUCCUUUUAAAAGAAGCAGAUUCUAGAAUUACAACAGAGGAGGGAUCUGAUAGUUUCUUAUCUUAGAUAAAUUCCUGUUGGGUUUCUGUCUUCUCUGCAGCCUGCCCCAUCUCUUUGCCCUUAGCUCUAGUCAUCCUAGUGCUGGCUCUGAUCCAAACUGAUGCAUUUAUAAAUUUGAGUGUACUUUAGAUUCAUAGUUGCUUGGAAAAUAGGACCCAUAGCCUAAGAUUGUCCUUUCUAAGGAGAGAAAUAUAGUUGUGUGUGUGAGUGUGCAGGAGGGCGGCUGUGGGAGGGAGAGAGGAGAGAGCAGCACUUGUGAGAAAAGUACAGGCCACAUUCCUGUCAGUGUGAGAGGAGGUUGUGCUGUAGCUGCCACAAAACAGCGUGUGACCUGAGGUUACGUUAAUAAAGAUACUGUCUCUAGAAUACGGAGGUGCUGUACACUCAUCAUUCAUUCAACUGAUGAUUGCUGUUUCCCAUAUAUAUGAGAAAUUCUUUUUGUACCUAGAAAACUUCAGUGAACUAAAAACAGGCAAAAAUUUCCGGCCUUGGGGAGCAUGUGUUCCAGUGGGGAGGGGCAGACUGUAUGCUGUAAGCAUAGUAAAUACGGGAAGUGUUUAUGUGAGAAGUUGUAAGUGCUUUGAGAAAGGCAACUCAUAGUAUAAGUUUGUGGGAACAAGAAGGAUGGCUGUUUUACUAGGAUGGUCAAUGUGGGCCUCAUUGGGAAGGUGACUUUGAGUAAAGACUUGAAGGGUGUGAUUUGUGCACAGGGAUGUCUCAGGAAGUCGUUUGCAGGCAGGGGAACCUCCAGUGCAAAUGCAUUAGAGCAGGAGUGUGUCUGUGUGUUCUGGGAAAAGUGAGGAGGCCGGUGUGGCUGGAGCAGAGAAUAUUGAGAUGAGAUAGACAUGUGGCCAGACCAUGUAGGUCUGGAGGAUGUUGGAAGGUUUUAACCUCUUGUUGAGGAAGAUGAACAGAAGGUCAACCUGUUGUGACUUGAGAAGCAUCACUCUGGUGCUGUGCGGAGUCAAGAGGUGAACAGAGAGCAGCCAGUGGAGAAAACUGUAGGAAACCAGUGCCGUGUUCCAGGCUAGAGAUGUUACUUGCUUUGUCUGGGGUGUGAGCAGG